AGAGGGGCGAGGCUCAGGAAGGGUGGAGAGAGGUUGGGGUUUUCACUGAUGCCUUUGCAGCAUUGCCCUUCCAAGUUUUAAGAAUGUCUCUGCUUUCUCCUACCUCGACAGUAACCCUUGGGAUGGCAGCUUAGUGGGGUGCGUGUGGGAGAUGAUGAAAGACAGGGAGAUGAAGAAACUUGUACUAAACACUCUGUUGGCUCUUGGCCUGAGACGCUGGGCCUGCUCAAGGCCUUGCCAAGAUCAUUUUCUCUGGGAGGAUACGCUGAUGAUGACAGCCAGCAUUCAUGAGAGUGGCCCACGCACAGAGCAACGUAAGAAGGGAAUGGCCUUUGUGCUCGGGACAGAAUGUCUCAGAACAUAAUGAAUGAAACACAAAUGUGUGAGUGGCGCUGACGCCGCCGCGCGUUACCCCGUCAGCAUCCCGGUGUGAGCUGGGCGUCACGGCCAGCACACUCACAUGUGAAGCAGCACAGUGGAGAUAGAGACCUCCUUUUCUGAGUGACAGAGCCCUGUGGCUCCUCCGUGGGGCAGCGCACCCGACACCGAGUGCACGGAAGGCACCCCGAGAGAGAGCGGAACAUCUGGACUGCUGUUCAGUAAACAAGACGUGAGCAAGUCACGCCCCUCCAGAUAAUCUCUUGUUCAAAGUGAAAGCUCACCACAGAAAUUUGGAAAAGGAGGUGGAAGGAGCGGGGCAGGAUUCCUAUUAUGCUUGGAAACAAUUUAAAUAUGUCAAUAUUAAGGGAGCGUAAUUACCACUCAAGCAAUUCCAGCAAACAAGUCGGUAACAGUGCCUGCUUUACGGGAAGUGCAUUUCCUCUUGGCAGUCUCCUGGCUGGGGAUUAUUGAGUGUGCAGCUCUCCCUCCAUCCACUUCACUGGGGAACCUCCCAGUCAGGCAGGGCCACAGAGCAGUUUGGUAACAUAAGGGACCAUGAGGGCCAACCUCAGCCCUUUGCAAGUGAUGCCCUAACCCCUGGCAAGCUCUGCUCAGGUCUGAGGACACGGAGCAGCCCCACGGUGCUGAGAGGCACCAACCCAUGCUGUCCUUGGGGUCAGCAGUGACCAUCAUUCCUGUGGUCAAGGUCACAGGCAGUAACCUGGUGCUGCUCUGCUUCCCAGAGCAUCUGCCUGGAUCUUCCAUUGCAGCCAUGCUGUGGAAAGAGGCAGAGGAAGGAGAGGGCUGUGGUUCAGGGGCUGGACUCUGUGCCCAGAUCUCCUGAGUCAGCUCCCAGCAUCACCACCGAUGUCCAUGUCAUGUCAGACAAGUCACUUCACCUUGGUGACGCCGGCUCCGGCCUCAAAACCCUUCUGUGGUCCUGCUGUGUGACAACGCAGCAGGGUCACUCUGGCUUGGGGAAG
rnacentral:lncRNA from 1 species